rnacentral:rRNA from 1 species
GUCUUUUCACGACUUUCGUGCCGUAGCUAACGCAUUAAGCGCCCCGCCUGGGGAGUACGGCCGCAAGGCUAAAACUCAAAGGAAUUGACGGGGGCCCGCACAAGCGGCGGAGCAUGUGGAUUAAUUCGAUGCAACGCGAAGAACCUUACCUGGGCUUGACAUACACCGGAUCGGGCUAGAGAUAGUCUUUCCCUUUGUGGCUGGUGUACAGGUGGUGCAUGGUUGUCGUCAGCUCGUGUCGUGAGAUGUUGGGUUAAGUCCCGCAACGAGCGCAACCCUUGUCUUAUGUUGCCAGCAUUUGGUUGGGGACUCAUGAGAGACUGCCGGGGUCAACUCGGAGGAAGGUGGGGAUGACGUCAAAUCAUCAUGCCCCUUAUGUCCAGGGCUUCACACACGCUACAAUGGUCGGUACAACGCGCAGCGACACUGUGAGGUGGAGCGAAUCGCUGAAAGCCGGCCUUAGUUCGGAUUGGGGUCUGCAACUCGACCCCAUGAAGUCGGAGUCGCUAGUAAUCGCAGAUCAGCAAUGCUGCGGUGAUACGUUCCCGGGC